rnacentral:lncRNA from 1 species
CCACCACGUCCUCAAAAGCGUAAACGCUUGCCGAAGUACGGACGUGAGUGGGAAGACGCACAUCCUUGGCUGGACAGCGUCAAUGGAGAUGUUUACAAGGCAAGUUGUAAAAUAUGUCGACGAGUGUUUUCAGUGGCGCACGGUGGGCUGUCUGACAUCAGACAGAAUGCAACAGGAGAGCAACACUGCAGACACGAAAGAUCACAGAAGACCCAAGCGUCAGUGUCACAGUUCUUCAUACCCCAAUCAUCUCCUGAGGUUGAUACGGGGAGAUUUGGAGGUACCUGGUCAGGUCUUGGUCAGCCUUCAAAUCCCAGAUGUGGAGACUGCAGGGAUACCUCACAGAGAAGACACUAAAGAGUCAUCUCUCAUUCAUCGAGUGGACUCAUUGGUUUGCGAAUGACCACAAAGAUGCUCCCAUAGGCAGAUUGCUGCAUGGCAUUCACCGCUUAUUCAAAUGGAAGGGGUUGAAGCAGUCUUCCUUGUGGUCACUUGCCAUAACAAUGUCAUGUGUUUUAUGAAAACACCAUCAGUAACAUUUAAAUUGAGAUGAUGUUUGUGGACGGCUCUUUUUAUGUCAGAUUUCUUCAGUGUUCAGUGCCUGUUUGUGAGAUAUGCAUUGUUUGAAAGAUAAGCCUUUGAUUUUGUUUAAUUUUAAUAUGCCUUUCAUCAACAGUGGUUUGGGGUUUUAUAACAACAAUUAAAGUGCUUAACUACUGGUGAACGAUGUUGCAGAACAUAUAUGGUUUGUGUUGAUUGCAUGGAAAAGGGAAUAACCAGUUACAACUUAUAUGGUAAGAGCCUGGUAAUACCAUGGAAACAAACUAGGCUUCCUUUUACAGUACAGUUUCAGCUUACUUACUGGGUAAAUUGUCGUGUUUUACUUGGUAACGUCGCAGAACGUACAUGGUACAAGUUUGUGUUGACUGCAUGGAAAAGGGAAUAAUGUAUUACAAAUUAUAUGGUAAGAACCUGGUAAUACCAUGGAAAUAAACGAGGCUUCCUUUUACAGUAC